rnacentral:misc_RNA from 1 species
GGAGGGAUCAUUAACAUCCAAAACUUUUUUGCCUACUUCGGUAGGCAAAAAUACACACCAAAUUACGUUGAAUUUUAUAGCAGUAAUUAAAUAUCUUUAACCACACUGAAAGACACUAAAUUAUCUACUAGGGAGUGCAUCCCUCAGCAGAAUAAAAAAAAUCACUGUUAACAACGGAUCUCUAGGCUCCUGUAACGAUGAAGAGCGCAGCGAAAUGUGAUAAUUGAUGUGAAUUGCAGAAAUACGUGAAUCAUCGAAACCUUGAACGCAGCUUGCGACGGAUAGUAACUCUCUCCGUCAUGUUUGUUCGAGUGCCAGCUUAACCCUCACCUACAAAAGCAAUUUUGUGCUGGUGGAUGCUGGCUCUUGAGUCUUCUUCUCGAAGGCUUAUGACGCUCAAAUAAUGCAGCAUGCCUACUCUAGUAGGGGUAACCACUUGCGUACUGAUUUUUCAGAACAAAUUUGGCCCUACAAGACUGGCUCUUAUUGCUGCCUUUCAUCAUAUGAAUUAUUUAAUUAUUUGGCCUCGGACAAGCAAGAUUACCCGCUGAAUUUAAGCAUAUUAAUAAGCGGAGGACAAGAAACCAACAGGGAUUCCCGUAGUAAGGGCGACUGAAGUGGGAAAAGCUCAAGCUUAAAAUCGCAGGGCGCAAGCUCUGAGAAUUGUAGUUUUGUAGGCAACUUUUAGGGGAGGCGGUGGACUAAGUCUCUUGGAAUAGAGCACCAUAGAGGGUGACAGUCCUGUGAGUCUGCUGCUGAACCGUAUACUGUUGCUUGAAGAGUCGGGUUGUUUGGGAGUACAGCCCUAAGUGGGAGGUAAAUUCCUUCUAAAGCUAAAUACUGACAGGAGACCGAUAGCGAACAAGUACCGUGAGGGAAAGAUGAAAAGCACUUUGAAAAGAGAGUCAAAAGUACGUGAAAUUGUUAGCAGGGAAGCGCUUCAGACAAGUAGUAUGCUUGCUGCAGCUCAGCUAUUGUAAGUGAAAUGUCGGCGACCCUUUGGGCACAUCAGUGCUUGAGAUAGCUGGCGUAUGAAGCUUGCAGUGGUGUACUCUGUAGUAUAGCCGGGCAGCGUGAGUUAGCUCUUGAGGAGAAAGGUAUCAGGAAGGUAGCAAGCUUCGGCUUGUGUUAAGACUGGUACCCAUACUCUCGAGCUGACUGAGGGAUAAAAUUUUAUCACAGAAGGAGCUUUAGCGGGCGACGUGCGUUGCAGUUGCAAAGUAUAGGUCGGACAGCGUGCUGUGCGGUUUGUAUGAUGUGAUUUCCAGCGUACUAGCACCUUCCUUCUCAGGACGCUUCCAAAAUUGUCUGAAUCGUCCCGUCUUGAAACACGGACCAAGGAGUCUAACAUGUGUGCGAGUGACUGAGUGGAAAACUCAGGCGCGAAAUGAAAGUGAGGCGCAGUAUGCUUGGGGUCUCCCUGAGUUGACCUGCGGGCCGAUCUUGAAGUUUACGGAUAGAUUUGAGCUGGAGCACAUCUGUUGGGACCCGAAAGAUAGCGAACUAUGCUUGCAUAGGGUGAAGCCAGAAGAAAUUCUGGUGGAGGCUCGUAGCGAUACUGACGUGCAAAUCGUUCGUCAAAUGUGAGUAUAGCGGCGAAAGACUAAUCGAGCUGUCUAGUAGCUGGUUUCCUC